GUAGCUGCAGCAACUCAAAUUCAGCCAGCGCCAAACCUCAGUGCCGGGAGUCACAGCAGGCUGGUGGCCAGCAGGCUGGGUCUAAUGCCCCGUCCACACAGGGAACGUCAGAAGUGCGUGGCGGCUGCGGAACCUGUUGAACCAGCUUUUUUGCAACAGGUUAGAGCAACAGCACAGCUCACGUGCUGCUCGGCUUCGUGUCUGCUGCGUCUCUUCUAGAGAUUCAAGACAACAAUACGACUACAUCAAAUGUCGUUUCCUGACAAUGCUCAACCACAUGACACGGAAGAGAGAGCUGCUCGCGCCUCCUCCUCCUCAGUGAGUGAGAGACAGACAGAGGACAGAGAGGACAGAGAGAGGACAGGGAGAGGACAGGGAGAGUACUAAGAGAAAGAAAUACUCAAGCAAAUUCCAGACGUCCUUGAAAGACGAAUUUCUGUUUCUUAUGGAAAGCUUUAAAGGAAACGGACAUGCAGGGCAGGCCACAACACAUGCUCAUGCAAUGGUUUGCAUGCUAUCUUACA